rnacentral:tRNA from 1 species
GUUUUUAUGGUGUAAUAAACACAUUACAUUUUCAUUGUAAAACCAAAGGUAAAACUCCUUUUAAAAAUA